rnacentral:lncRNA from 1 species
AUUUUUGUUUGUUUCCAUAUUCAGUUAAGUGACUUACAUUUUCUAAAUUUAAUGAUAUAAUAAUAUUUUAUAAAUUAAUCAAUUUAUAUAAUAAAUUGAUAUAGGUGAUAAAAUAUCUAAUCUAUUAAAAGGGGAGUACAUUUUGUAUUUAACCCUAAAUUUGUCACAAAAAUUAUCUUCUCAUGCCAUUGGUAUUAAAAACAGGAGUUUUAUAACUUAACAGAUCUUGCAUAAAAUUAAUUGUGUGUGUAACGUAAAGAUCAUUUAUUUGUAAAGAUCAUUUAUUUAUAAAAAAAAUCUCUCAAACAAAAACCUAGCCGCCAGAGGCUUCCCUUUGCUCUCCUCCUCUCUCACCAUGGAUUCCGGUCAGCUGCCGGAGCCUGACCCUCCAGAACCUCCCGACCGACCCUCAUCUCCCGUUAGACCUUCCUCUUCCG